AUAGAUACCCCGGUAGUCCACGCCCUAAACGAUGCGAACUGGAUGUUGGGUACAUUACAGUACUCAGUGUCGAAGCUAACGCGUUAAGUUCGCCGCCUGGGGAGUACGGUCGCAAGACUGAAACUCAAAGGAAUUGACGGGGGCCCGCACAAGCGGUGGAGUAUGUGGUUUAAUUCGAUGCAACGCGAAGAACCUUACCUGGCCUUGACAUCUGUCGAAUCCUGCAGAGAUGCGGGAGUGCCGCAAGGAACGACAAGACAGGUGCUGCAUGGCUGUCGUCAGCUCGUGUCGUGAGAUGUUGGGUUAAGUCCCGCAACGAGCGCAACCCUUGUCCUUAGUUGCCAGCACGUAAUGGUGGGAACUCUAAGGAGACCGCCGGUGACAAACCGGAGGAAGGUGGGGAUGACGUCAAGUCCUCAUGGCCCUUACGGCCAGGGCUACACACGUACUACAAUGGUCGGUACAGAGGGUUGCGAAGCCGCGAGGUGGAGCCAAUCCCAGAAAGCCGAUCCCAGUCCGGAUUGGAGUCUGCUAACCG
rnacentral:rRNA from 1 species